rnacentral:tRNA from 1 species
GGAAUAUAUUAUUUAAGAAUAAGCUUCUAACUUAAUUCUUUAGCAGUGUAAUUCUGUUAAUAUUCCU